AUAGAAACUCAUGAACAAUAGUCAAACUGUUAAGACUAACCAUAGGCAUAAGCUAUUGAUUGAUUAUAUAUGUGUUUUAUGUUUGGAUCCUAAAUAUAUAAGAGAGUGAAAUCAGCACUAUGCAUGUCACCAACAGAAAGUAAAUAAGAGUAUCAAAUACUAUAACAAGUACCUACAAAUUUGCAAAAGAACGAUCCAACUUGCAAAAAAGGUUCUUAAAUUCAAAAAACUAUUGUCGCUUGGGGGAAAGCUUUAUUUAUAUAAGACCUUUCCUUGCGCCUUAAACCACUGGUUUCAGCCUUUGAGCUCUCAGUCUGCCAGGUCAAUGAGGUUCUGCAGAUAUAUGUGAAAUUAUGAUCAGUUGUUCAUCUUUAAGUGUUCAGACAGUGCAAUAAUAAACAAUUUGUCAGAGUUAAUGAAACAGUAAGCUAUUACUGAACAUAAAAAUCACUUGAUAAAAAGAAAAGAUGUUAUAGCAGCUGCGAGAGGUGUACAACUCCACUUUCAUUAUUGUCAACCAAUGUAUUGAUCAUGGGUGUCAUAAGAGAAAAGUUCUACUAGGUUGCAAAGUGUGUAAAGCAGAGAACUAAGCUAAAGAAUGCAACUAUAAGCUGACUAGAGUAAAAGUAAAGGCUUUAUAGGGUCAACAGAACAACACUAGCUACAUGCAUAG
rnacentral:sRNA from 1 species